rnacentral:lncRNA from 1 species
AAUACUCCUAAAAUCCUAGACUUAGACUAUAAAAGGACCUACACCUAAUGACCUAAGGACUCUAGACAUUGAUCCGCCGUUUUCUCUAAAAAGAUCAAAGAAAAAUCAGCCAAAAAAUUACAAAGAAAAAUGAAAAGACCUAGGACCUAGUAGAGACAAUCAGCCGCAUAACACCAUGGAAGAACCCCCCCCCCCCAACGUAUCUCCUUCAUCUUCUUCAUGGAGAUUGAACCAAAACCCCUAGAACACUAAAAGAACCUAGGGUCAGCCAUUUUAGACCUUAGGAGAACCCCCUAUCAGAUAUCAUCUUCCUUUUUCAGUCAUUAGAGACUCCAAGCAAAUAGUCAAUGUCGCUGGACCUCCGUUCACCACGAAGCUUCCAUAUCCAGCGAAGCUUCACCUCACAAAUGACCACCCUGACGUCGAACACACAACAACUCUCGACUCUAAACUUUCACCAACCAAAACAACCUCCCCUCGUCCUCCUCAUCACGCCAGCGACUCAACCAAGCUCGCCGGAAAACAACCCAUAACACUAGUAACCUCCUUCAACAGCCUUCCACGACCACACGCACACACACAUGGACAGAGCAAUAAUAAGAGGUCACUGAAAUAGAGUGAGAGAUAGACAGAGGAAAAGCGAAGCAGUCCGGUUAAAGUCCGGCGAAGUUCUGUCGAGCUCGCCGUUUGAAGUCUACGAUCGCGUUUCGUUGCUGGAUUUGUCUUUGUAAAUCAGCUUUAAAGGAUUCUGACAGCGAGAUCUGGCUGGUUUUACAUUUUUAGGUGAUUUCCAUUAAACGAGUGGAGUUUUGUUUGAGUCGAGGUUUUGGUUCGAGGUCUGGUGCUUCGAGGUCGUCAACAGUUAGCUCUGGCAAGAUUUUUUCUUGUUCGUUGUUUCAAAAACAUAUUGCAGCUAUAAAAGGUCCAAUCCUAAACUUUAUUUGCUCUUCAAUUGUAAGAUUUGUUUUCCUAAUGCUAUGAAUGAAAUCUCGAUUUGGUUUCCUGUUCUUCGUUUUUGAUUAAGGCUGUAUUCAGAAGGAAUUUUCUUGUUCCAUUUUGUGAUACAACAUUAUUGUCCAGUAGAUAAAUCAGAAAGAGUGGCGUUGGAAACGAAUUUUUUUCGCAGCGAUAUUGAUUACGUUAUGCUGAUAUUGAAUAUUUCUUAUUCGUUGAUUGAAUGUUGGAAAUUUCGAUGCAUUGACUUAUCCCAUUUUUUUAAUUUUGGAUUAUAAUUGUACGGGUGUGGCUUGGUACCAUAGUGACCAUCUGUUUAUUGAUCCAUGUCAAAUGUUAGCCAAGAGGAAGUGCUCUCCUGGACAGAGCAGGGGUUUGAUAUGUAUAUAAAUUUGGCAUAAGAAGAUGCAAUAUUUAUACAACACUUUUUUAGUAUAUAAGUGUACGGCACUAGUCAUACAACUCUGCAUUUUAUAAUAUAGGGUGCUUGGUUUCUAAUAUUUCAUCCUGCAUAAUUGAUUUGGACCUUAGGUUGCUCAUUGGUGAUUCACGUCUUCUUUUGAGGUGUGCCAUAAAAUCACUUAGUUUAUGGCCCUUAUAAUACUAGAUCAAGAAAUCAUUUGAAGAAAGAGAUUUUAGGUGUGCCAUAAGCAAAAUUAAAUCAUCAAUGGCCCUCACGAAUGUUAUAAUUUAUAUAUAAAAUGAAUUUCGUAGUUUGCUUUAGGUGCGCUAAUUAUAAUUAUCAGUUAUUAUCUAAAUCCGGGGGUGCAUUUCAUGUGACCCAGUUCUAAUUUCCAAAAAGGUUAAAUAGAACGUAUCGUGAACCAUGGGUACAUUUCAUGUAGCGUGGAUUACGAUGUGUUUUUAAUAACCUUGAAUUUUCUUGAAAUAUUAAAAGCGGCUAGAAAGUUAAAAAUGCACAUAGGCUUAAAAGUAUUUUAAAAUCAGAUAAUUAGGCCAAUAAUAACCGUUGAGUGACUGUGCUAGAACCACGGAACUCGGGAAUGGCUAACACCUUCUCCCAGGUUAACAGAAUUCUUUAUCCGGAUUUCUGUGUUCGCGGACUGUAAAACAGAGUCAAUCUUUCCUCGAUUCGGGAUUUAAAACCAGUAACUUGGGAUACCAUAAACUACCCCAAGUGGAGACUCUUAUUCUUAAAUAAUAAUCCCGUUUCGAUUGUCACUUUAAUCGGACAAACUCCCUUAUAUCCCCUUUCGGGCGGGUAAAGAGGAGGUGUGACAGCUCUGGCGACUCUGCUGAGGACAAGAACCCAGAACUUCUGGUUCAGGGUUCAAAAUUCAAGCUUAGAAUAACUGUUAUAGUUGUCCUUUUAUUUCUGAUUUUUAUUUGUUUAAGCCUAAUGUGCUAAUUGGCACUUUUUACUGCUUUGAUACUGUUUGAACUAUCUAUUAAUUGUUACGAAAUCCUCUUCUCUCUGAGUCUUCUAAAUCAUCUGGGAAGUGUGCAUUUUGUGUGACUUCUUUUCUGUUAGAGUCAUAUCCCAAUUUUAGAAUGAGGUUCGGACAAGUUGCAAAGCCGGUGAAGCUUCUGUAUUCCCGGUACGCUACCCCUCAUCCCCCUAGCUCGAGCUGUUCGCUCGGGUAAGCCAUGUCUAGAAUAAAUAAACCUAGGUUUUCAAACCUAGUAUAACAUAGCUUCAUGCUGGAUCCCUAGUAGGAACUCUUGUUUGCAUCAUGUGCAUUUUGACUUUGGGGACUCAACACAGGGGUUGGGUCCGUCUAGGACAAGUGCACCUAAAAUCAAAAGACCAUCCUGAUGCAUUUUGCUUGCUACUAGCGCAUUUAUUUGAUUCGGACUGCAUGUUGACCGACUUCUAGAAUAAGAGAAAAAUUGAGAAAAACCAAAUUGAGGUAAGAGAGAGGAAAUUACCCGCCUGUGAAAAACCUGGUAUCUAAAAUGCCUCGAAACUCUGCCGAAAUUUUCAGAAAAGAAAAAAAGUUAUUUCAAAAGUUUGUGUUUUCUGUUGCAUCAAAAUUACCCGAACUAUGCAAGUUCGAUUCUCACUGGAUGUGGGAUACAUAAGCAAUCCUCAUCGAGUCCAACUCCUUUUGCCAAAAAUAACCCAAAAAAAACGUGAAGUGUCACUGUUUUGUCAUAAAUAAAUUAGGUGACGCCAUUCUUGUCCAGAAUAGCCAAAAAUUCCCCAAAAGGCGCUGGAAUCCUUUUUCAAAAUUUUGGUUGAUUAACAAAAACAGCCCUAAAAUUUUUUCUUUCUUGAGGUGUUGAAGGGCUAUAUUCACAUAAAUGUUUUGUUCUAAAUUUUGUGAAAAUGGAUCUUUUUCUCUUGAGUCAAAGUAAACCACAGUCUUUUAAUCAAUCACCUUAAAUAAAUGUGCAGGAUGAGCACAAUUGAAAAUGAACCUUUCACAAUCCGCGAGGAAAUCCCAUUAGAACUACAUAUGUGGUGGAAUGAUUUGGGAGAAGUGAGCAGAAAAACUGUGAUAAAAGCUUUGGGUUGUCUUGUUGGGCUUUUGAAGAUUAAGCCAAGGAAGGAUAUAGUUGAGGCUUUGAUGCCAUUCCGGGACCCAGCACAUAAUGUGUUCCAUUUUGUUGAUUUUGAGUUAACUCUUACGCUUGAGGAAAUAGCGGGCUACGCUGGUUUCAGUGGGAAUCUUAGAAAUCAAUGCCCGGUGGCACCUAGAACAGUGACUCCUCAUAAGUUUCUGGAUCUACUAAGCAUCAGUCGGGAAGUUCAAUAAGGAAACUUGGCCAAGGGAUUCUGCACAUUCUAUUUCUUGUACUGACAUUACAGGAAUCCCCACAGUUUUGAGAUGCCAGAUACCGAUCUUACUCAUCCGGGAAACAAAGAUAAGUGGGAAGCUCGGUGGGGAUUGGCUUUUAUAGUGGCAUUCUUGGGUGUUUUGAUUUGUCCAAGAAAGGAUGGAAGCAUAGAAUUAGGGCUUGUGGGAAUAACCGACUUCAUGACUAAAAAGUCAAAUGGAACCAUUGUACCGAUGAUCUUGGAAGAGAUUUACCGAGCUCUAACCGUCUGUCGAGAAGGGGGAAAGUUUUUUGAAGGAUGCAAUAUGCUUUUACAACUCUGGAUGGAGGAACACCUUUUCCACCGUCCGUGGUACAUGAACUGUGACAUGACCGGUCUUGAAUGCAUUGAAAAACAUGAACAAUGGGUGGAGGGCUAUGAGUUCCCGGAUGGUACGGAAGCAUGGUUUGCACACUUGAGCUCCUUGACUGCAAACAAGAUUGAAUGGACAUUCGGGUGGCUCUCAGUCAGUGAAGUCAUUUAUAUGUCGACCGAGGUGUGUUUUCUUCUAUUGAUGGGUCUCCGGAGCAUUCAGCCUUAUGCCCCGCACAGAAUUCUACGCCAGUUAGGCAGGUACCAGACCAUCCCACAUGACGAGGAUUUGAGUUGGUAGGUCAUCGAAUUGGAACCAAAAGUUGCUUUCCCAGAAGAAAGGAUGCGUCAAAUUUGGCAUCAAUAUAGGUUCUUAGAGCCAAAGACUCAGGUACGUGAUAUAUCCAGAGGCGAGUUGGAGCCUAGUUACACAGCUUGGAAUGGUAAAAGGUCCCAAAUCCAUCUAGAGCCCGAACGGCCCGCAAAAAGGCCCCAUAUCCAACAAUUCACUGAUAGAGCGCAGGAGCAAUGGGAUUGGUUGGCAAAAGAGGCAAACUACAGAGCCACCAUAAGUAAAUUGGAGGGACAGAUCCGGGAUCUUAAAUUUGACAAAAGUGUACAAGCCGCGGCCGAUGAAGGGGGAAGAAGAAAUUGGUUCAAGAAAACAAGGCCCUCCAAACACAGAUCCAAAAAAUGAGAAUAGCUGCUAAAAAUCAGGAACGGAGCCAGAAGGAUGAAAGACUCAUAAGUGGUCUCAAGAGGAAAAUAGUUGAGUGUGAGGAUGAUCUGGAGAAAUCCGAGGGUAAUCUGGCGAAAGCCCGAGCACAGUUAGUGAAGAAUGCAGAGGGGCGAGCAGAGUUUGUCCAGCAGUUGAAGAGGAAAUACGAGGGCACAACCACCAAUUUGAAGAAAAGGCUAAUUACCCUCGAAAAGAGAUGGCCAAGCAAGCUGAGAGCUUUAAAGCAGAAAGGGAAUAUUGCUAUGCAUUAAUGUCCCAGCUGGAGGAAGAUAUGCAACAGUUGCAAGGUCAAAACCAUCGUGAUGCCCAAGUGCUAGAAGCUAGGACUCAGCAAAUAGGGUGUUUGCUCCAAGAAAAGUGUAUCAUCAGGGAGAGGGUUAGAGCCAUCGCUGACUACAUCGUUAUGAAAUGCCAUGAAUGUGAAGACAUGACUAGAACCACCUUCUUUUCUGCGGUAAUGACCUUUGUUCGCCAAAUAAUGAGCGACCUGGAGCGCCUUCAAGGGGAUCUUGCGCAUAGGCCCGUGGCAAGACAAAAUGAUGUCCCACAGGCCCCUGGAGCAAUUGAAGCGUUGAUGUAUUCACGAUUUUCAUUCAAGUCUGUAUUUUCAUUUUUUUAGUUGGAGUCUGUUAGUUUGUUUUCGGGUCAGUAUUUUUAUCUUUCUGUUGGAAUCUGUUAGUUCCUCUUUUCGAGUCUGUUAGUUUUAUGAUUAAAUUCUAUAGGAUGAGUUGUUGUAAUCAAGACGUUUUUAUUUUAUGAAAAUUUGAAAAUCCCAAAAUAUUUUUUUAUUUUUAUUUAUUAUUUUACACUUAUUCCCAGAACUACGCGUGGUCUGAUUCAUGUGGCGUCAUGAUAUGUAGGCAACCCCCAAUAGGAUUCGAUCAUAACCAUGAAAAAAAGGAAAGAAAAAAGAAAAAAAAAGAAAAAAUAGAGAAACAAAAGAAAAGAGAGAAAACAAGAAAAAUCGGGAAAGAAGUAAUGGCAAUACAAGAGAGGAAGAUGAGAGAAUAAAGAAAAGCAAGAAUCAAGCAAAGAAAAGCAAGAAUGAAAAAAUAAGAAAAAAAAAAGAGAAGCUGCAAAAUGAAAAUUAGGGAAAGCCGGGAUGAUGCAAGCAACCGAUCAAAUGUAUAAUAGAAAUGGUUAACUGCUUAGGUACAUUGCAUCCCCAACGUGCGGUUGCCUAUCUGUUAAGCCCUAAUCGCUAACAAGUUUGUCGUUAUCAUCAAGAUUAGGCAGGUGAUCAGUUUGUUUGGCAUUCUGGAAACUCACUCGUACAACACCAGGUCCAAAGACAAGUUGAUCAUGGCUAACCAAGAACUGGAUGCAAGUGUUAUUGAUCCAUCAAGANNNNNNNNNNNNNNNNNNNNNNNNNNNNNNNNNNNNNNNNNNNNNNNNNNNNNNNNNNNNNNNNNNNNNNNNNNNNNNNNNNNNNNNNNNNNNNNNNNNNNNNNNNNNNNNNNNNNNNNNNNNNNNNNNNNNNNNNNNNNNNNNNNNNNNNNNNNNNNNNNNNNNNNNNNNNNNNNNNNNNNNNNNNNNNNNNNNNNNNNNNNNNNNNNNNNNNNNNNNNNNNNNNNNNNNNNNNNNNNNNNNNNNNNNNNNNNNNNNNNNNNNNNNNNNNNNNNNNNNNNNNNNNNNNNNNNNNNNNNNNNNNNNNNNNNNNNNNGAAGCCUACUUUUAAGGCCCCAAAUCCUUACUCCUACACUCCUCGUUUCGACCUCCCAGGUGAGGCUGAGAAACCACCUAAGAACCCAGAACAGGAGGAGAUGUUCAGGAAGGUUAAAAGCCUGGAACAGUCAUUCAGAAACAUGCAGGGAUUGAGAGACUAGGUGAGCGUGGCCGAUAAAUAUUUGUGUUUAUUUCCCAAUAUUCAACUGCCGGCGGGAUUCAAGAUGCUUAAAUUCGAUCUAUAUGACGGGCACGGAGACUCGGUGGCCCAUUUGAGGGGAUUCUGCAGUAAAAUGAGAAGAGCCAGUGGGAAAGAGGAGCUAUUGAUGGCAUACUUUAUCCUGAGUUUGAGCGGCGCAGCGUUGGAGUGGUACACUUAUCAGUAUCACAACAGAUGGUAUACAUGGGAUGAUUUGGCCCAAGCAUUCUCUUGUCACUUCCAAUACAACCUCGAGAUUAUCUCAAAUUGUUUAUCUCUAACUAAUAUUGAGAAGAAGCCUAGUGAAAGUUUCAAGGAGUACGGUUUUCGUUGGAGAGAACAAGCGACAAGAGUUGACCCUCCGAUGAAGGAGAGCGAAAUGGUGGAUUAUUUUCUGCAGGCUCUGGAGCCUACUUACUUCGGCCAUUUGGUAUCGACCGUAGGCAAGUCCUUCAACGAGGUAGUGAAGACGGGUGGCAUGGUGGAAGAAGGGCUUAAAUCAAAUAAAAUCAUAAGUUACUCGGCUAUUAAGGCAACUACCCAAUACAUUUAGAAAGGUACUGGGAGAGUGAUCGGAAAGAAGAAGAAAGAAGAUGUGGCAACAAUCGAUUCAGGAUCAUGGUUUGGACCUAGGGGCCCGUCACAACAAUACACCCAGCCUCGACCCCAUCACCAAGCCUACGCCUAAACCCCAUAUAGUUUACCACAACACUACUUCCCAUCACUAGACCCUCAUAUUUCUGUCCACCAUGCCCAGACAUAUACUCAACCUCCUGCUUACGCACAAUGGCAUGCCCCAGCUCCACAAAAUGCUUACCCACCCCCAGGAGCCUACCGAAACCCUGCCGGUCUAGGUUUCUAACCCAAUCCAGCAUUCAAAAAUGAGAGGUUGCAGUGGAAGAAAACUUUCACCCCGUUGGGGGAGUCUUAUACCAAGUUAUUCCAUAGAUUGAGGCAGUUGGAUAUGCUGAUUGAGUCGAAAUUGCCAAACCCUCCUCCAAAGAAUCUUGAUUACUCUGUGAGCUAUGAAUAUUGUUCUGGUACCCCGGGGCAUGAUACUGAGAAGUGCUAGCACCUGAAAAAUACCAUCCAGGAGCUCAUUGACACAAACCGGAUUGAAGUCCAAGCUCCAGAGGCACCCAACAUCAACCAUAACCCAUUACCAACCAAUCAGGAAACAAACAUGAUUGAGAUAGUACAUAAGGUAGGGGAGCCCAAGAAGCCUUCACAGACCGUCAUGAUGAGUCGGUCUAGUGAGGUCAAGCCAGUUGAAAAACCAACAGUUGAAGGAUCAGUGAACAAGUUGAGCAGGGCAAACAGUGAACCAUCUGUGGUAAUCAAGAAAGGAUCCCCAAGUGAUGUUGCGGUGAAGCAAGAAAAGUCAAAAGUGGUUGUGCCAGGAGUGGCAAACAAGCCUAUCAUAAUUGUAGAAGGUGCCCGUACGGAUCCUGUCAUCAUCAAGCCUGUAACCCAGUUGUUUAUAAUCAGCAUCAAGGCUAUCCCGUGGAACUAUAAAUGGGUGAUAAUGACCUACAAGGGAAAGGAAGUGAAAGAAAAAGUCAAUGAGGCCCAGGGAUUAACUCGUUCGAGGAGAUGCUUUGCCCCGAAAGAGUUAAGGGAAGCUAAAACAUCCAGAGAUAACCCAGUUCUAGUAAACAAAGCAAUGACUGAAGAAGAGGCAGAGGAGUUUCUGAGAAAAAUAAAGGUACAAGAUUAUUCCAUCGAGGAGCAGUUGAGAAAGAUGCUUGCUCAGAUUUCACUAUUGUCAUUGUUAAUCCACUCAGACGAGCAUCGUCGGGCCUUGAUGAAAAUUCUGAACGCGGCUCAUGUUCCUAACAAAAUUUCAGUAAACCGUCUUGAAAAGAUCACCAACAAAAUAUUUGAGGUGAACAUGGUCACCUUCUCUGAUGAUGAGUUACGUGUGGAAGGUACUGAGCAUAACAGAGCUCUCUACCUUACGGUAAAAUGUAAAAUUUUUGUGGUUACCAGGGUAUUAGUUGACAAUGGUUCCAGUGCAAACAUCUGCCCCUCUAUACUCUGAAGAAGUUGAAAGUGGAUGAUGAAAGGAUUCACAAGAACAACAUCUGCGUUCGGGGAUUUGACAGCGGAGGAAAAUAUUCGGUCGGUGAUAUAGUGCUUGAGUUGACAAUAGGACUGGUGGAAUUCACCAAGAAGUUCCAGGUGCUGGACAUGGAUGGCUCCUACAAUUUGUUGUUAGGUCACCCUUGGAUUCAUGCCGCUAAAGCAGUCAUGUCCACUCUGCACCAGAUGGUCAAGUUCGAAUAGGAUAGACAAGAGAUCGUCAUGCAUGGUGAAGAUAACUUGUGUGCUCACAGUGAUGCCUCUAUCCCGUUCAUUGAGGUUGAAUAUGACAAAGGGCCUUGGGUCUAUCAGAUUUUUGAAACAGUGUUGGUCGAGAAAGUUUCAGAAGGGAAACGUGUUCCAAUUCCAAAGGUAACCUCCGCAUCAGUCAUGGUGGCCUUUGAAAUGCUGAAAAAUGGCUUUGUGCCCGGUAAAGGUCUGGGUGCAUCUCUGCAGGGUAUCAUACAGCCAGUGUCCCUCCCUGAAAAUUAGGGUACGUUCGGUCUUGGGUUCAAACCUACAGCAGCAGAUGUGAAAAGGGCUAAAAGGUUGAAACAAAAGGCGUGUGGCACUUCCAAAGCCUGUUCUACGUCUCUCUAGGUUUUCUAUCAAGCCUGGUGGUUGACGUUCCAAGUUCCAAGUUUUGUGGUUGACGUUGAUGAGGAGAUAAUUGAAAGGUUCCAGAGGUUGUUUGAUGAUGUGAACAUGGUAGAGGUUGGAGAAGGUUCUAGCAACACGGACGUGUAGUUCGUUGGGCCGAUUACAAAGCUUAACAAUUGGAAGGCUACUCCUCUCCCUACCCGGAAGAAGUCUUGGCAGUUCGUUUUGUUUUCCUUUCUAGCUGGGUCAUUCUUUUUUAAUUUUUAGUCAAUCCACUAGGCAUACGCCUAGGGCUAGUUUUAUUUAUAACAAAAUAAGACAAAAUACAAUGUCAUGAUAUCUUAUGAAAUGAAAGGAAUAAAGUUUGAAUUUAACAAAUAGCCUAUUAUCAAAAUUGAGUGUUGCACUCAACAUUGAUAUCACAUUAAUGCUAUUAAACUUUGUAAAAAGCAAGUCUGCAUCCGAGACAUUCCAUUUUUGUAGCAAAUUCCAGCUUUUGUAGACACCUGUUUUCUCUUUUGUUUUCAAGACGCAUGCUAUAAUUUUGGCCCAUGCUCCCCAUGUCAGUAUACUCGCAUGCUUUCCUCGAGCCUCGAGUUACUUUCAGGUUCAACUUGGCGUGCAAGAGCAUCCCUAUUCGAAAUUUUUCCAAAAGACUCACGGGCCAGCUGAAUAUUCCAAGUUGGACAGCUUCAAAGGCGUUCAUGAAAACUGCUGCCUUGCGUGAUCAAACAACAUUGUCGAUCCAGAGGCAUUUUUGUCCCCAUUGCUGCGUUCCCUGACCAUUAGAGACAACUUUGUGUUGUAAUAUCCAUAAGCACAUGAGCUCCACAUACAUGUGAAGCAUAAAGAAUUAUAUCCCAUAGUACCAUCAUCCUAAAGUAUUGCAUGUUUUUAUGUAUCCUAGAUAACUUUCCAUAUGUAUUACACCUUUCCAUGUGAUUCCUUUUCUAGACAGCAUGUGCUGUCUGCCAUGCCUUCCACGUUACCCCAUGUGCACUCCAAACCAUUUGGCUUCUGAUAAUGUGCAUAAACUUCUUAAAAAUACAUGCUCAAGUUAUUUCCCAUGCUAUUGCACUAUUUCUCUUUGUUGUGAGUCGUUUCCAUGUAUAAAUAUAUUGUAAAAUAGCGAAAACCCUUCUUUAAUGUCCUCCCAAUGGAUUGAAAAGCAAUGCAUUAAUACCACCAUUUCAGAUUCUACUAAAAUAUUAGGCAUUAGCUUCGAUGAAAAACCUGUAAAAAAGAAAAAGUUAGCCGAAAAUUGCUAUCUAAACUCUCCUCCAGAAAGAUUCGAGCUUGAUAACAAAAUGACUCCUCUUUUCCUCCUAAAUCCUUGCAACUUUCACUCUUAUGUAGGGACAUUACAUCUUAUCUUCGUUAAUAAUCCUCCUUCCUUUUGAGUCCAGAUCCCAUAAACUAUGGCAUUUAGUAUUUCCUUCAUCGAGGGCGUAAUUGGCAAGAUGGUCUGCUAAUGUAUUCCCUUCUCUGAAAAUGUGUGUGACCUUGAUGGUAUUUUGUUCCUUCAGUCUUAAAAUCUCCUCUACAUGUUCAGUAAUAUACCAUGGAGGUUUCCAUGAUUCCUCUAUAAUGUUCUUUAAUAACAUAGAAUCUAUCUGCAGCCAUAUCCGGCAAUAAUUAAGAUUUUUGCACAUCUUCAAUGCCUCCACAAUAGUUACCGCUUCUGAUUCAUUGUUGGUUCCUUCAGAGAUCUCCCUUCCUUCUGCAUAUAUCAAAUCUCCUUCCUCAUCCCUUAUGCAGAAACCAAUUGAACUCCUCUCUAGGUUUCCUCUAUAUGCUCCAUCCGUAUUCACUUUGAUCCAUCCUCUUGAAGGAAAUUCCCAUAACACUUUAUCAUAUUUCAGUCGAGGUGUGUAUUGCUCCAUCAUUGUCAGUAAGUCCAGCCACUUGUGAGGCACAUGUAGUCCUGGCUUUUUCAGUUGGACCAGCGAUUCCAACGUAGAUGACACCUGGUAAAUAACUCUGUUCACUGACACUGCUUCUCCAUAUUUCAAACUGUUUCUUCUCUUCCAAAGUUCCCAUACAAUGCAUGCAGGUAAAGCUUGUAACACUGGCUUCAAUCUAGGUACUACUGGUGAUGUCCAACUCUUUGUAAUUGCUUGAUAUAAAGACAACCCAUCUAAUGCAAUUCCUGCUCUCCUCAGGAAGUAUCUCCAAACACUUCUAGCUGCAUUUGAUGUGAAGAACAAAUGAAUUAAAGACUCCUCCUUAGUAUCAGCACAACACCAACAUUUAGAUGGCAUGGAGUAUCCUAUUUUACGCAAAAAAUCAUCAAGUGGCAGUUUUGCUUUCCACACCUUCCAUGGGAAGAAGGAUAAAAGGUAAACCUUUUACCCAUAUCAUCUUGUAAGCUAAUUUUGGGUUGUCUCUUCUUCGCAGGUAAUCCCAUGCAGAUUUUACUGUAAAAUGUCCCCUUGUUUCAAGCAUCCAGAAAGGAGUAUCUAACUGUGAACUUUCAGAUAGUGGUCUAAUAUUCUGCACAAUGUGGUUUGCCAGAUCUUCAGGUAGGCUCUCAAAAAUUUUAUCCACAUUCCACAUACCAUUUUCAGUCAGAUCGUUGACAUUAUGAAUAUACUCAUCGAUAACAAAACCUGCAGGCACUUGAAAAUAUAAGGCUUCCAUCUCAGUCCAAUUAUCGAACCAAAAUUGAGCUGAUCCCAUUCUCAGUUUCCAGUAUAUUUGAUGCUCAAUCAAAUCCCUACAUUCUAGCAUUUUUCUCCACACACGGGAUCCACGUUUCCAAGGUACAAUUACUGCAUUUAUUUUCUUGCAGUACUUUUGACAAAUAAAUGCACUCCACAAAGUGGGCUUAGUCUUGAAAUUCCACCACAAUUUGCAGAAAAGUGCCUUCGAUACGUCAUGCAGGGACCUGAAGCCUAUGCCUCCCUCGUCAAAAGGCAUACACAGGUUAGUCCAGGACGCCCAAUGUCUAGUGCUGCCUCCGACAUUACUACUCCAGAAAAACUUGACAAAAAUGCUAUGUAAUUUGUUGAUCACAUAAUUUGGAGGAUUAACUGCUGACAACAUAUGAAUUGGGAUACUCUGCAGGACAUUUGCGAUUAGAACAGC